rnacentral:rRNA from 1 species
AUUGAACGCUGGCGGCAUGCUUUACACAUGCAAGUCGAACGGUAACAGGCCGCAAGGUGCUGACGAGUGGCGAACGGGUGAGUAAUGCAUCGGAACGUGCCCAGUCGUGGGGGAUAACGCAGCGAAAGCUGUGCUAAUAGCGCAUACGAUCUAUGGAUGAAAGCGGGGGACCGUAAGGCCUCGCGCGAUUGGAGCGGCCGAUGUCAGAUUAGGUAGUUGGUGGGGUAAAGGCUCACCAAGCCAACGAUCUGUAGCUGGUCUGAGAGGACGACCAGCCACACUGGGACUGAGACACGGCCCAGACUCCUACGGGAGGCAGCAGUGGGGAAUUUGGGACAAUGGGCGCAAGCCUGAUCCAGCAAUGCCGCGUGCAGGGAGAAGGCCGUCGGGUUGUAAACUGCCUUUGUACGGAACGAAAAGGUUUGGGUUAAUACCCUGGGCCGAUGACGGUACCGUAAGAAUAAGCGCCGGCUAACUACGUGCCAGCCGCCGCCGUAA